ACUCCUUCAUGCCACAGCAGACGCUCUGUCCUCAGGCUGCCGCUGACGGAGCCUCUGCAGAGCUGCAGGGACAUCUGCUUCCUCGCUACAAUGCUGAUUGGAGAGUUGGACUCGGCCCGACCCGGCUGAUCACCGCAUGCGUCGCAGGUGAGGAUGAGGAGCUGGGGCCGUAAACAGAGCCAGACACAGCGGACGGGAAGGAGCUGCUGGAGACGAGGGUCCGUCCACUUGCUUUCAGACAAACCUAACUCUCUUCACUGCAGACUUGUUCAGUGCCGCCUCUGAAAAUAGCUCAGAGACCGCACCAACGCAGUCGUGUAAAAGAACAACAACAAAAACACGAAUCAGCUGUGUGGAAGUAAGGAGCAAGAGGCCGCCGUCCUGUGACACAUCCAGGAAGGGAAAAGGACCUGAGUGCAGCUCAGCAGUUUCCCAGACUGGCACCCACGGGUCAUUUGUCCUCUGGUCACACUCGGAGUCUGGCACCCGCCUCUGUGCUUCGAUUCCAUGACUGAACUCAAGACUGAAUAUUAAUAAAGCAGAACAAAUUCACACCAGCUCUUCUAAUAGUUCAUGGAGACUUUUUCAGUAACAUUCAAGUUGUUUUAAAUCCUAAAUAUCUGAACUUUCUUUCUCUCUAAUUAGAGCUAAUGUGUCCCAAUUACACACUAACCAGACACACACACACACACACACACACACACACACACACACACACACACACACCACGUGACCAGAUUAAGAUCAGAUUCAAUCUGCCUUCCUGUGGCCACACAGGAAUAAGAGUUCAACCCAGCAACAGCAAAACCAGGGAGACAAAGUCUGGUUUCAAUAACGACCCACGUCUAAAUAACGACAUCAGACCUUCACUUGCUUUUUUCAUUUAAGUCCAACACCACCUUGAGCCUACACACAAAUGAGCCACACAGUAUGGUCACAUGCAAGAGAGAAAAACAGCUUUCGUCAGUUCAACCGCCACCACAACUCAUCUGCCAAGUAAACCACUAAAUGAGAAACAUGCUGCACGCCGUGUUACGCUUGGUCUCCCACUGUGACAGGACCAGUUUCCUGCGACACCACACAUCAACUAGUACUGUAGAGACAACGCGAGGGCCUGGACACACACCUCAGCUCUGCUUCACAUGGACACGGACCUAAAACCGUUCAAUGAUGGACUCACCUUCAACACACGGCACCUGAGCCACAUCCUAAACCCUCACCAUCACCACGCGGCUGCAGCAGCCCUCUCAGGACCCAUCAGCUGUAUUGAUCCAGGUUGUUAUGUCAGAGCGGAUAUUUUUUCCCCUGAUGAAUCUGAGCGUUCAAUCAUUGCGUUCAGAUAAAAUUAGGCACAUGUCCUGAACUGAGCGCCUUAUCUAGUGCCAUGACGACAAUUUAGCUCCGUUUUUCCACCGAUAGUUGAAGCUGCACUAAUCUAAACACUGCACAUAACAGUAAGGAUUAAAGGUCAGUAUACACAUCAUGUCAAAAUGGUAACACAAUGAAUGUUUGUGUAACAACACAAGCUCACUAGGAUUUGUUUACUGCUGCAGAAAUCCGGAGGUGUUUACCAUUAAGUGUGAAUGAUUGGACACAGGACUGGACCGAGCAGCGCCCACAGAAGCUCCUUGUUCAGUGGAGAGAACGUAGCUAUAAAAACAAGGCCACGUAAGCACAGACCCAAGGCUCCAGGUCCAAUUACAAGCAUGUGAAUACAGAUUCAAAAGUCUGUGACACACAACAGCCUUUCUCUGCAAAAGCGCCAAAUAUGGAAGAUUCAGCACCUCUGAGUCAUAAGAGACGUAGACGAGAUACAGCAAUAAAAGACCUGCAGCAUAAAAGCAGCACCAGGAGAUGAAGCCGGUGAAAAGCCACACACUAAAACAGAAAACAUGAAUACUACAGAAAUGAUGUGGUAGAUGAGGUGGAGCUAAAACAGGAAGCACAUGGAGCUGCAGAAAGAUAAACCGUCUCCCUGUUUCCUCCAGAAGAAGAGAAAGUACCCACCAAACACGAGGCCACGCUGACGGCGGCGGUAAAACCAGACUCCUGCAGCGGUCAGGAAGUGAAGCGUCACCACCAGGACGGGCAUGAACACCCCAGGCUCCGCUAGAAAGUCCAUCACGUCUACCUCAAAGCCCAGAAACGUCCACGGAACCAGAGCCUUCACUGGAGGCAGAACGAGCAGGUUCCUUCGGUUCCCGUCACUUCGCUCUCAUGCUCUCCUCAGCAUCUCUUCACGUUCCAGCAGCGCAGCUAGAACCUCCAGAGUCCUUUCCCCAUUCAGACGCAUCACCCCUCCCUCUCUCAUCCAGCCUCUCACACCAACAGUGAAUUCCUUUCCCCUGAAACAAGCGACCAGACUGUAGCUGGAGCUCAGCCGUUCGAGACCAGUAAAUAGAUGAGAUGGGACUAAAGGACGGAAACGUGUUGCGUGUGUAUAAAUAUAUGGUUUCCUCUGACUGUGAAGGAAACCACAUGGGAGAUACCCUCAUGCUCGUCUUCCUGUGCAUGUGUAUUUCUACUUCAGCACAUCAGUCACUUGAUGAAUUCAUAUAAAAGGAUGUGAAUACA